CCCUCAAAACAGAUGGCCAGGAGUUAUCCAAAAAGGGACUUAAAUGUGGCCAAAAUUGACAUAUAUUGAAUGACUAAUGGCUCACAUAGAAUUUGGCUAAGGACUUGGAUAGUGUUUGGAAAUGGGCGCUUCUGUCUCAGAAUAAGUGGUUUAAAAAAAAUACCCAUGAAAAGGGAAAUGACCAAUUUGGUUGAUGAUUAAAUAAUUAAACUUUUUUGAACCUCAGAAAAAUGUCCAGUUUGGUUUGAGUUUUUGGAGGGAAAGUGCUGGUCAGUUCUCACUUAGUUGCAGCCUGUAGACUUGUCUUCAGAGGUAUGAAAGUGGGGAAUUUGGAAGACUUGAUUCAGGACAUCCACUCGAGUCAAUGGAGUUUCACUCAGAAUCACAGAAUCAGACCCAUUGUGCACCUCUCCCAUUUCAGCAUGAGCUUGUUGCCUGCACAGCAUAACUGAGGUGUGUAGUUUGCCAGAUGUACAUGCUUUCCACUCUACCUGUGGUCGUACAAAAACUGGUUUGUUUUUCCCAAAAUUCAGCAUCCAGUGCAGCAACUGCUAUAUGGUGUGUGCAGGUGAGAACAUGAACCCAGGGCAUGGAUGAAACAACAGCCUGAGAUUGGCUGUGUGGUGGAUGCUUCCAGCAGCCUGCUUACAUUUACAGCCAUCAGCAAGGAUCUGAGCAUCUCCUAUCAGGUGGAACCAAGUCCAAAAUUAUUUCCUGCAGCUUUUUCCCAAACUACAAGUCCCAAUACUUUUCAGUUUGGGUUGCGAAGAAUAAAGCAGCAUAUAUAUUGUCAAUGAGUUGGCCUUUCUCCUCAAUCUUGCAAGCCAAUGUUCUUGCAAGCUGCUUUUCAUGUCUCAGAUAAAGUCGACUUUGAACAGACUGAAGCAGUCACAAUGUAAAGAUGAGUCCUACCAAGGAGGGGAUGAAGACAUACAGACACACCACUGUCUCGCACUGGAGGCUCUGGAAAGUAGACCAGGAGCCAAAGCCAUUGGACAGCAGCAACACCAGCACCUCACACAGCUUCUCAUGAAUCAGCUCAAAGCCAGGCUCCACAGAGGAUAGCAGCCACUCCAUGGCACUGAUCCAGCAUAGGGCUCUGCCUAGUUACCAUGGAUCCAGCAGGCACAACAAACCCCAACAUUCCACCUGGAACCCAACCAGCAACUGCCAUCCUGGAUUGGUCAGUUAUCUGCUCAGUGUUGGGGGAGGGUGGCAGGAGGGAAAUUUGUAAAUAAAAUGUGAUU